GUGCCAGCCGCCGCGGUAAUACGUAGGGGGCGAGCGUUGUCCGGAAUUACUGGGCGUAAAGGGUGCGUAGGCGGCCGAUUAAGUCAGAUGUGAAAUACCAGGGCUCAACCCUGGGGGUGCAUUUGAAACUGGUUGGCUUGAGUGCAGGAGAGGAAAGUGGAAUUCCUAGUGUAGCGGUGAAAUGCGUAGAGAUUAGGAGGAACACCAGUGGCGAAGGCGACUUUCUGGACUGUAACUGACGCUGAGGCACGAAAGCGUGGGUAGCGAACAGGAUUAGAUACCCUGGUAGUCCACGCCGUAAACGAUGGAUACUAGGUGUAGGAGGUAUCGACCCCUUCUGUGCCGUAGUUAACGCAAUAAGUAUCCCGCCUGGGGAGUACGGCCGCAAGGUUGAAACUUAAAUAAAUUGACGG
rnacentral:rRNA from 1 species